rnacentral:ncRNA from 1 species
GACUAUAAUUUAUGGACGACUUUUGAGCGACGCUUAAGUGACAAGGAUCCCCUUAGUAACUGCGAGUGAACAGGGGUUAGCCAAACACCGAAGCCUGCGGUUAAUUGAUCGUGAGACAAUGUAGUGUUUAGGCUGGCUUCAGGCAUUACUGCUCUGCCCCAAGUCCAGCAAUGAGUACAGCUCCCUAUUUUGGUUCAAAGAGAGUGAAAGGCCCGUGGGGGUAGAAAUCAAAUGCGACAGUUCUGAUCUGAACUACCCUUGGAGUCGGGUCGUUUGUGAAUGCAGACCAAAGUGGGUUGUAGACUCUAUCUAAGGCUAAAUACUUACAUGAGUUCGAUGGAGAACAAGUACCAUGAGGGAAAUUUGAGAACUACUUUGGAGAGUGAGUAAACAGUGCGGGACCUUGAGAAUGUCCACCUACUCAUCAGGGCUAGAUGAGGGUUAUAAAGCAAGGUGAAGAAUAAGGAUCAUGACUCACAAUUGAUGGUUAGGGUUAGGAAUUAGAUUUAUGGUUCUCUGCAGCACAAACCGAGAAAAUAUCCGCCCAAGUCUUUACUCACGGCUUUUCAUUGUAAUGAUAAUUUUAAGGGGUUGUUCAGCCCUUGGGAAACUGUUCAGAACAACAG